rnacentral:rRNA from 1 species
AGCAGCCGCGGUAAUACGAAGGGGGCUAGCGUUGUUUCGGAAUUACUGGGCGUAAAGGGCACGUAGGCGGUGUGUCAAGUCAGGCGUGAAAGCCCCGGGCUCAACCUGGGAACAGCGCUUGAGACUGGCACGCUCGAGUUCGGGAGAGGAUGGUGGAAUUCCCAGUGUAGAGGUGAAAUUCGUAGAUAUUGGGAAGAACACCGAUGGCGAAGGCAGCCAUCUGGACCGACACUGACGCUGAGGCGCGAAAGCGUGGGGAGCAAACAGGAUUAGAUACCCUGGUAGUCCACGCCGUAAACGAUGAGUGCUAGACGUCGGGGCUCUUAGAGCUUCGGUGUCGCAGCUAACGCAUUAAGC